ACAUACAAAGUUAUAUAUUAAAAGCAGCAGCUCCUGGCUGAUCACUGAAGUUAAACAAAACUGAAACCUAGUAAGUACUUAAAUGGAUAACCACUGGGGAAACGUAGGUGUUGUAAGCA
rnacentral:rRNA from 1 species